rnacentral:tmRNA from 1 species
CGUAAUGGUUUCGACGGGGACUGUGAGAUAUGAUAAGCGUAGCGGGCUGGCUAAUCCCGUAUAAUGGCUAAACUUAAAUAAUAAACGACAACAAUAAAGUUGCUAUGGCUGCCUAACUAAUUGCCCCUCGGGGUGAUUAGCGGCAGUGCUGUGGCCAAAUGCGCCACCCGUUCCUCUUGGGAGUACCUCGACCCAAGACUGAGCGUAACGCGAGAGGUGAACUUGAAUUGAGAGUCUUGUCUGUAUCAAUCAAGCAAUAAGGCAAUACUCUGUAAAUAGCCUGUUAAUCGGCGCUUUGCAGGGGAAAACUUGUAGAUUAACUGCCUACGGAGAAAUUCAUAUCAAGUGGUUUUCGGACGCGGGUUCGACUCCCGCCGAGGACACCA